UGGGCCAAAAGAGAGGAUAACCAUAUGGGUCUCAUAUGGUGAUCUCAAUAUUAAGUGAUAGUAACGUGAUCUCAUCGUAGGUUCUUCCAAAAUGUUGCAUUAGGUUGUUUCUUCAUUGAAAUCCAUUAGCACUAGCCUUUUUUACGAAUGCACUGACUUUUAUUGAUAUCUAAGGGAUCUUUUUUGGGUUUCGAGAGGGUAUAUAGAGUGACUACCGAUGGCGUGUAUGAACUAUUGUGCUGUACCAUUACAAAUCUACUAAGGUGCGUUUAGACACCGCCUAAUAACAUCGAGCCACAACCACGCUGCAAGUGCCGCAAUUCAUUCACCACAGUUUUUUCGAAGCAGCGGUGGCAAGAUGAACUAGCAUCCUACGUCAGGUCAUU
rnacentral:lncRNA from 1 species